ensembl:lncRNA
AUGUUUUUCAAGAAAUGUUGUUUUUGUCUUAGCACAGGUAAAGUGGUUUUGCAUUUGGAUUAGAUGUGGACAUUUAGAAAUGAAUGAAACUGCUUCACCUGUGCAGGUGUUUUUUUACACACACGCAAACGUUGAUUUUGUUCUCUUACUGUUAAAUUUAAACCGGCUGAACCAGGAGGUCAAAGUGAAGUUGUUUUAACAUACCUAUCUAUUUUGUCAGAGGUAGAAACUGUACAACAUCAGGAGAGGAAAGCUGUUUGUGAAUCGGUUUGAGAACAGAUCAGUUUAAUACUGCGGUCUAGAGACCGAAUGGAUUUAUGAACUGAAUGAUGUUUGUGUUUGAUGUUCAUUGUUGAGACAAAGCACUGCUUAUAAAAUGAGUCUCUGUGAGAAGAGAGAGGAAGAGGAGGAUGUUCACAAACAUAAAGCAGCAGCUCCAGAACCCAGCUGUGUGUCUAUGAAGAGCCGCUGGUCCAUAGGCAUCCCUCCUAAUCUCAGUGCUGCAACGGUGACCUCUGAACCUGAAUUUAGCAUGGACGACGAUGACCAGUACUGCCUAUAAAAUGAGAAAGGAGGAGGUUUCUGUUCAGACAAGUAAUGCAGCAUCUCAAGAACCCAGCUGUGUGUCUAUGAAGAGUGACUGGUCCAUAGGGAUUCCUCCUAAUCUCAGUGCUAGAGCAGUGACCUCUGACCCUGGGUGAGUAUCAGCAUGAGCAUUGUCUUUGCUUCUUCAUGCAAAAGUUUGCUAUUAGGUCAUAAGCUUUUCUUUGAUUAAUAAUU